GACGAACGCUGGCGGCGUGCUUAACACAUGCAAGUCGAACGGAAAGGCCCUGCCUUUGUGGGGUGCUCGAGUGGCGAACGGGUGAGUAGCACGUGAGUAACCUGCCCUUGACUUUGGGAUAACUUCAGGAAACUGGGGCUAAUACCGGAUAGGAGCUCCUGCUGCAUGGUGGGGGUUGGAAAGUUUCGGCGGUUGGGGAUGGACUCGCGGCUUAUCAGCUUGUUGGUGGGGUAGUGGCUUACCAAGGCUUUGACGGGUAGCCGGCCUGAGAGGGUGACCGGCCACAUUGGGACUGAGAUACGGCCCAGACUCCUACGGGAGGCAGCAGUGGGGAAUAUUGCACAAUGGGCGGAAGCCUGAUGCAGCAACGCCGCGUGCGGGAUGACGGCCUUCGGGUUGUAAACCGCUUUCGCCUGUGACGAAGCGUGAGUGACGGUAAUGGGUAAAGAAGCACCGGCUAACUACGUG
rnacentral:rRNA from 1 species